rnacentral:rRNA from 1 species
GUCCACGCUGUAAACGUUGAGGACUAGGUGUCGGCUCGUUUAGAGUCGGUGCCGCAGGUAACCCAUUAAGUCCUCCACCUGGGGAGUACGUCCGCAAGGAUGAAACUCAAAGGAAUUGACGGGGGCCAGCACAAGCGGUGGAACAUGUGGUUCAAUUCGACGCUACGCGUAGAACCUCACCUAGGUUUGACAUGCUAGAAGUACUGAAGUGAAAGCGGAUGGACUCGUCAAGUCGAGAGCUAGCACAGGUGGUGCAUGGCUGUCGU